UACAGAGGGUGCAAGCGUUAAUCGGAAUUACUGGGCGUAAAGCGUGCGCAGGCGGUGAUGUAAGACAGAUGUGAAAUCCCCGGGCUCAACCUGGGAACUGCAUUUGUGACUGCAUCGCUGGAGUGCGGCAGAGGGGGAUGGAAUUCCGCGUGUAGCAGUGAAAUGCGUAGAUAUGCGGAGGAACACCGAUGGCGAAGGCAAUCCCCUGGGCCUGCACUGACGCUCGUGCACGAAAGCGUGGGGAGCAAACAGG
rnacentral:rRNA from 1 species